rnacentral:tRNA from 1 species
GCGCCUCUAGCUCAACGGCAGAGCAGUGGACUCUUAAUCCAUUGGUUCAGGGUUCGAAUCCCUGGGGGCGCACCA